rnacentral:lncRNA from 1 species
GUCAACGAUCUUUAUAAAGUUGUUUGAAGCGUCUAUGAUAAACAGAGAGCAAAUUAGAAUGCUGGGAAGUUGACAUGUCGUCACUUCAUUUUUUUGCGCCUGCGCAUAAAUCUGAGAAGCGUGAGUUUGUCAUAAUUGUUUAUCUAGACAUAGGAUAGGUUGUGUGAAAAUAUUACUGAUGUUUAACGUUAAAAAUGGACCAAAAGAUUAAUGCUAAACAACGUUUGACAUGUUUGAACGAACGUAAAUAGAUUAUUUACUAGGUUUUUUAGCUUUUCGGCGUGAUUUUACACCCCCCCCCACCACGUUUUGUGGGAGCAUAAUGAACGCUAACUACUUGGUGUUAUUUGGACAUAAAUUAUGAACUUUGUCAAAAGAAACCACAUUUGUUCUGGACCUGGGAUUCCUGGCAGUGCCUUCUGAUGGAGAUAAUCAAAGGGCCAGGAGUCAUGGAUCACACUGGCAGGUGUGCUAAGAACACAGAUUACAUGCUAACAGCGACCAGAUUCUCCGGCAUGAUUACAUCACUGAAAUACUCAAGCUGUGAUGCUCUCUCCGCCGUUCUUCCCAGACAGAGAGCUACUCCACUAGCCUGGCUUCUCCAUCACACGUCCCCCUCUGCCCCCUCUUAGUUGUCCCCCUUUGCUAAUCAAUGUUUUCUGCUUGCGCCUACUCUAUGGAAAGGAGUAAUCGUCCCAGAAUAUUUGAUGCAAGAACUGUGAACACCAUGUGCGCCUCACAAAAGAUCUCAUCCAACAUCAAGAGGCCCAUGUCCAGUUUGACAUUGCACAGAAACUCAACAGGACCAUUGGUGAGCAGACAAACCUCAUUACAGCCAUUUGAUAAUGACUGUGAGCUGAAGUCAGAGUCUGGAAAGCACUCAAUCUCAAGUACAUCUAAGGAACAUCAACCAUAUAUAGUAAGUGUGCUUCUUGAACAGAAGGUGUUUGCUUGGACACCUGGCAGGUUCUACCGAAGCAUCCAGAACUUCCAAAUAAACCUGUUGCACAAAUUUGGACUAUGAGGAACUAGUGUUCUGGAUCAGCAACCACAAACUGAAGUUACAUUGUGAGAAGAACAAACUGUCUGCUCGUCUGGCACGCUGACAGAGGCACAAACAUUGACAGUUGGAAAUGGUUACCUUAAAUGCCACAGUUUGAGAAGUAUUGUAAGAAAGGGGAAAGUAGACAUAGUACUGUAACCAAUGACAACGUAGACAAAAAAAAUAUGUAUUUACUUUUGUAACAUUAUAUUCUUUGUUAAAUGUAUUUGUGUAAUUACUUUUAUUUACAAUGUUAUGUACUCUUAACAUUGUUCCUGUCGAUGCUGUCUGAAAUUGUCACACCAGCCAUUUCUUGGACGUCCUGGACCGUUCUCUCAUUCGGGACAUCCACAGGCAUCGUCUGGACCGACCCGCACCUCGUCUCCAGGGUCAUCGCCCCGCCUCGCAGGAGGGGGGUUACUGUCACACCAGCCUUCGCUUUGGCUCCCCCUCCUGUCCAGCUCAGGCGUUCGGCGUCGCCGGCUUUCUAGCUGCUGCCGAACCUACUGCUGGCAAACGCCCUUCACUCAUCAACCCCGGACUUGUCUCAUCAUCAUUACACACACCUGGUUCCAAUCCCCACUCUGUCACUGUAUAUAUACUCCCUCUAUCGUUUCAUUGUAAAUGUUACUUGUUCUCCGAGAGGAAUCUCUCCUAUUUCCUGAGUACUUUAUAUGUUGCACUUUGAGUUCGCCCUGUGUCUUUUGGUUUAUGAAGAUAUAUUUUGAGCACAACAGUGUUUGGGUUUCGUCCCGCUUUGAUCUAUGGUGCUUUAAAUAAGCUCAGUAGUUCUAAACCUGCGACUGCCUCCUGCCUACUCCUCUCUACACCAGUGACAGAAACCUUAUAUACAAAUACAUUUUAUGGUCUGUGAUUUAAACACCGUGCAAGACUAGUAACACAACUGCUAUAGCCUUUUCUCAAUUCUCUGGGCCAACACUAGGGGGACAGCCCACACUUUUUCUAUUUUGAAAGUUGUGUAAAGUUAAUAGUAGCACACUUUGUUACUUAUUUCAUCCAAUAAAAACAACUACAAGUUAAUUUACAAUAACGUCAUACAGUCCACUGAGCAUUGAUGUUUCCAAAUCUGGAUUAUGAAAGAGAAAAGUGAAAGAAAAUGCAUUUUAUGAAUAAUUAACUAUGGGUGACAGGUCACAUCUUGGCCCACUCUACAUUUUAGAUAUCUGAAAAUGAGUAUUAGAACAAAGCUUUAACCUAAAUUAUUUAUUUACAGUGUGUGUAUGGCAUACAUUCCAUACAGCUCAAUGGUAAACAGGCCUGGUCCACAACAAUAACAUCCUAGACUACAUGCUGUGAAGGACAUAUUGAAAUUUACUGUGGGG